GAAAAUGGAUGCCUUCUUUUGGACCUGAGGGUGUCCUCAGAUUUUUCCUAGAUCCAGGAUUCUCAGCUGGGGCUGGGUUCAGGCUGUGUGAGCGAUGGAGAAGCUGUCACUCCUCAUUAGAUUUUGGAUGGUGCCUGGGGACUGUCCUAGGUUUGAGGAAAGCUGGCAAUGGAAGAAGGAACAUCUGAAUAAGGAGUAAAGUGAGGUUCUUGAGGUUGCAAGCCUACUGCUGCC